GAUGAACGCUGGCGGCGUGCCUAAUACAUGCAAGUCGAGCGAACGGACGAGAAGCUUGCUUCUCUGAUGUUAGCGGCGGACGGGUGAGUAACACGUGGAUAACCUACCUAUAAGACUGGGAUAACUUCGGGAAACCGGAGCUAAUACCGGAUAAUAUUUUGAACCGCAUGGUUCAAAAGUAAAAGACGGUCUUGCUGUCACUUAUAGAUGGAUCCGCGCUGCAUUAGCUAGUUGGUAAGGUAACGGCUUACCAAGGCAACGAUGCAUAGCCGACCUGAGAGGGUGAUCGGCCACACUGGAACUGAGACACGGUCCAGACUCCUACGGGAGGCAGCAGUAGGGAAUCUUCCGCAAUGGGCCAAAGCCUGACGGAGCAACGCCGCGUGAGUGAUGAAGGUCUUCGGAUCGUAAAACUCUGUUAUUAGGGAAGAACAUAUGUGUAAGUAACUGUGCACAUCUUGACGGUACCUAAUCAGAAAGCCACGGCUAACUACGUG
rnacentral:rRNA from 1 species